rnacentral:rRNA from 1 species
AGAGUUUGAUCCUGGCUCAGAAUCAACGCUGGCGGCGCGCUUAACACAUGCAAGUCGAGCGAGAAAGGGGCAACCUGAGUACAGCGGCGUACGGGUGAGUAACACGUGGGUAAUUUACCUCUUAGUGGGGAAUAACCCUGGGAAACCGGGGCUAAUACCGCAUAAGCCUGAGAAGGGAAAGCUAGAAAUGGCGCUGAGAGAGGAGCCCGCGGCCGAUUAGCUAGUUGGUGAGGUAACGGCUCACCAAGGCGACGAUCGGUAGCCGGCCUGAGAGGGCACACGGCCACACUGGCACUGAAACACGGGCCAGACUCCUACGGGAGGCAGCAGUGGGGAAUCUUGCACAAUGGAGGCAACUCUGAUGCAGCGACGCCGCGUGAGCGAUGAAGCCCUUCGGGGUGUAAAGCUCUUUCGGCAGGGACGAUAAUGACGGUACCUGAAGAAGAAGCUGCGGCUAACUACGUGCCAGCAGCCGCGGUAAUACGUAGGCAGCGAGCGUUGUUCGGAAUUACUGGGCGUAAAGAGUGUGUAGGCGGUGCUCUAAGUUCGGUGUGAAAUCUCCCGGCUUAACUGGGAGGGUGCGCCGGAAACUGGAGUGCUCGAGCGUGGGAGAGGAAAGCGGAAUUCCUGGUGUAGCGGUGAAAUGCGUAGAUAUCAGGAGGAACACCCGGUGUAGACGGCUUUCUGGACCAUAGCUGACGCUGAGACACGAAAGCGUGGGUAGCAAACAGGAUUAGAUACCCCUGUAGUCC